GUGACUACCAGGUAGCAGACGUAGCAGUUGCUAUGGGGCCCAAACUCAAACAUUUGGUGUAGUUAGUAAUGAAGUGUAUGCAAAAUGGCAUGAAACAUUGAAUGCGGCCCCAAGGAAUGAAGUGAAGACCUUUCUCACUUGCUGGAAAAAAGACAGGGGGAGAUGUAUGGGGAUCAUCUGGAGGAGAUAUAGAAGUUUGGGAACAAUGUAUGAUUGGAGAAGAUUUUUCCUGCCCAUCCAUGAAACCCAUGGGAUGUUUAGGGACCUCAACUGUUCCUGAAUCUUCUUCAGUAGUGGGUUACUCGCACCCGUGGGGUCCAAGUUAUACAAGUUACUGUAGAAAGAGCGGAAUUCAUCCGCAAUUUCUUGUGAAGACGAGACCAUCCUUCCCUGAUUCGUCUUAAUGGAAGAGACGAAAUGGGCUUCCUGUCUC